UUGCAUUUGCGGGAGCCUUAACUAUUUCUUGUGCUGUGACAAAGGGGCUGUGGGUGGAUUCUGGCUCCAUGUGGUCUCCUUGUCUGGUGCGUAUCCUCUCUCGUUGUGCUGGAUCUCUCGUUAUCAGUAGUUUAAUGUAGUGUGGUCACAGGUAAAUGCUGGUAGCGGCUCGCUGCUCUUGCCUCGUCUCACUGGUUGCAUGAACAGGUGCUGUACCAUAAGGAUCAAGUCCAUCACCUCCAUUGGCUCCCUUCCGUCUGCAUGACCUCUGCUGCUUUGUCCUGCUUCAAGUUCCUGUCCGUCCGUGCAGCUGUUUCCCGGCUCGGGUUUGGCUGGCUCCGGCGUGCUGCGGUGCUUUGCUGCCGUCCGUCCUAUUGCGCUGGUCGCCCACCUGUGGUUGGGUCGUUCGCCUUCGCCGCGGCUCGUAGCAGCCCGUUCUCGGCUGCCAGCGUCCGCUCUUUUUUUAGGGCUGACGGCCUGUAGUGGUGUGGGUGAUCGUAGGAGAUCCUCCUGUCUGCUGUGCCGUUUCCAGGGAUGUGGGUCGUUCACGGGUGUGCUCUUUUCACGUGUGUCUGGGGGAACUUUUACUUUGGGGACCCCUCCUUUCGCUUGCCAUAGCUACUUUUAGGACGAAGCCCUUGAUUAACUUUUGUUUUUGCAUUUUCGUUUGUUUGGAUCCUUUGUAUUAAUAAAAUAUUAUUGUGACUAAUUUCAUGGGCCACGUCUCUUGCUUGCCGAGCAACGGACCUGUAUUGUGUAAAACCGAAGAUCUGGUAAUAGUAAUGUCCUUAGGGUGAGUACCUGAGGUGGCGUUGUCUGGC